rnacentral:tRNA from 1 species
GCGCUCGUAGCUCAGCUGGAUAGAGUAUCGGCCUCCGAAGCCGAAGGUCGUGGGUUCGACUCCCGCCGAGCGCGCCA